ACCGAUGUGAGAGAAAAACGUAAAUCAACAUUUGGUGUCAGAAGUGGGAUGUCAACCAGCGACUGAUCGAGCCGGCGAGUGAAUCCACUGGGCGACGGGAUCGAUGUGAAGGGUGUGCAGCCAAGUGUGUAGAUUUAGUUAAAUCUCCUCUUGGUCCUUCCUCGUAUCCCGGCGUAGCAGGGUAAUUCGCUGACUUGCGUCAGUUGGUGGGACGACAUCCGAACGUUCCGGUUGUGGGCACUGGGAUAGGGCCGUCUCGAGGAUUAUCCUAGUCUGAUCGAGCGGAUAAAACACCCCGUAGAGGGGGACCGUAGACGGUAUAUAAGAGGAAUGCACUGUGUAUAGGAAGUUAACUAGUAUUGAGACAUUAACUGAGACCAAGGUACCCCCAUAUCUCACAGAAAGUCCACUUCAAAGUGACUGAGUGAGAUACGGUGGAACCAAGGACUCUAGGUUAACCCUGAAAGAGUUAACAAGUAUUGAGUGUUAACCGAGACCAAGGUACCUCCGUAUCUCACAGAAAGUCCGCCUUAGACUGGUUGUUAAGAGAGGAAAUCCUCCACGCGAAGGUCAGGAAUUGAAGUGACCGAGUGAGAUACGGCGGAACCAAGGACUCGCGGUUAACCCUGAAAUAUUGUGUGUAAUAGUAUAAGUUUAAAAAUGGGUAAUGGUAUGGACACCAGUGGUCACCCAGACCGGCCAUUACAUCAGCUAUGUUUCUUGCAUCCAGAAAUGGAGGAGACCUUUAGGCGUAUGUCGGGAGGACUCAUUCAUAAACAGGGGAAGGAUGAAUGGCCUGAAGGGGGUUCCAAGGAUAUGGAUGUGUUAUCAAGGGCCCAAAGUGUAAUAUGGAAAACGGAUUUUAAAAAAAUAUAUAAAAA